UAAAUUGUGGUUUUCUUCAACUCUUGUUUCAGCUUCAGUAGUUAAUUUGGUUUAGAAAACAAACAAGUUGAUCUUAUUUCUUAACAGGUUUUUCUUUUCUCUUUUUAAAUGGUUAAAAGAUCCGCACCCCUUGUACUUUAAGAGAUAUGAGGAAUUGAAUUUACGUAUAUAGGUGUUUUUAGUUGCUGAUUUUGCAAAUGAGUUUAAAGUAAUAUUUUUGUAGAAUGAUCUUUCAAACUUUUUCUAGGUAUGGAGUACGAGGGAUGGAUGUAACUGCUACAACAGUAUGUUAAGGCUUUUGACAAAAGAUGACAAAAGUUGGCUAGAGCUAAUGCAGAUGUGCUUUUAGUGUGAAAGAGCGUAGUCCUGGAGCUGAUUAAAGGUCAAAGAUGCUGCAAGUUUUAAAACUGUACUCUAAAGGGCAAAGCUGAUAUCUUACUUGGUGAGAUCAAGUAACUUGUGGCUUAAAAUUCAUAGAAGCCGAUGACAGAAGCCAUUUUAACAACACUGGUUGCUGUUAGUGGGGGUUGAAUUCGGCAAAUAUUUACCUUGAUUCCUGACUGUCUUCCAGAAGAAUUGUAUAAAGGUAAUUGUUAGGAAGCACUGGGUAUUGUUUCAUGUUCCUUUCUGAAGAUUUGGUUGGCUCAUCUGUUAAGCAUUGAUGGAAAGAUGCAUUCAGAAUUCUGUAUGGUAUGUUGUAGGAGGUUGACCUACUCAAUAUAUACAAAGUAGCUGAUGUUGACUGAAGCACUGAAUCCAGUCAGAUGAAGAGUGUCAAAUGGAGUCUACGAAUGGGAAACCAAGAUGGCAGUUCCACUGUUGAUUGAGAGGUUGAGGAAAUGGACUAAUGCAUGUGUGCUGUGAUAUAUCCAUCCAAGACAGGGGCAUUUUAACAUGGACUUCAGUAUUACUAAAUCAGAGAAGAUGUGGGUUUGUGAUCAUCUUUCCAAAAUGGACAUUGGACUGAAUUGAGUUCCUAAGGGUAUUACAUUGGUGAAUAGAAGAUGGAUCUGUUGGAGGGGUGGAUGUCAUUUUUUUUUUUUCUUUUUUUCUUUUUUUUUUGCUUCAGGAGACGUUCACUUAACCAGGAACUUAAGGUGGCAUCAGAUGUAUUGCUGCCUAAUAAGACAAAAUGUAUUAUUGUGCUAUAACAAAUGAUUUAUUUAAUAAAAAAUAUUUUAUACUUUA